rnacentral:piRNA from 1 species
UGAAUAUUGAGAUGUGCCUGUGUACC